rnacentral:snRNA from 1 species
AUACUUCCCAGCUGUUGGCUUAGAUCAGCAGCAUCAUCUGUACUUACCACUUUAAUAUCUGAUGAAUCCUCAGCUUGAAGAUUUUAUAUUAAAGAGAUUUGGAGGGCAGAGGAAGGACUAAGAGCAUCAACCUGAUACUGCAGGGCUUUCUGGUACUGUGGUCACAUU